rnacentral:lncRNA from 1 species
CUCUCAUUUAUCACUCUUCAGCUCACUUUACAGAGGUUUGAGUUUUUCCUAGACUUCUCUGCCACAUUUUUGUAAUGAUAUCUAGAUUUCUUGAUGAUGUUUUAGACCCAAAUAAGUUUUACUUUGUUUAAAAAUAUGUUUACCAAGGUUGAAAGAUUUGCUACAUUUGUAAAAAUUGUGACAAAUAUCCAUCUACUCAUAGGCUUUUAAAAAUGCCAUACAGCAACUCAUAUAAAAAAUGAUAGUGGGUUUGUUUGUUAUUGUAAUUAAGAGGACUAUUGAGAAUUUGGGGGAUAUUGAUACCUACAUAUUUGUACUACUUUAUAAAAAAUGUUACCUUGUGAAAUUCAUUUGCUUGUACUCACAGUGGAUCAUGGCCAGAUAUGAAGAGGAAAUGGAUCUCGUUUUUGAAAUUGAAGAGGAAAGUGAAGAAAUGCACCAAAGCAGAGCCUUAUCUCUCUACUGCCCUCCAUUUUUUCAAGUUAAAACUAAUGAUGUUGAGGUCUGUGACUGCAGAUGUGGGCAAAAAGCAGGAUGCUGCCAGGAAGUAAGUCAAGUAAAGAGAAGCAAGAUAUUCUGGAUAAGACUAUCUUUAAUUUUGUCAAAAUUUGACCAACUGGUCAACCAAAGAGAAUCAGCACAAAAUGGCUACAUAUGCUCCAAAGUCUAUGGGACUAUUGCAAUAGCUAAAUAUCCUGUGAAGCCUCAAGAAUACUGGUCUCUUCACCAUUAUAUCAAUAUAAUACAACCUGUGGAAUUUUGAAUACCAGAUUUUGGAUGCCAACUCUCUCAAUUUAUCCAAAACUAUGCCUUUUCAUAAUAUUCUUACCACUACUGAUAGAUAAUAAUAUAUUCUGCUCUCCAGAUGUGUAUAUGUAACCUCCCUAUAGAUAUAGAAAAAUAGUCUCAGAAUAAAGAACAAAAACACUGAAUACUUAUCUAUUAA